rnacentral:rRNA from 1 species
GACGUAGGGCGCGAGCGUUGUCCGGAUUUAUUGGGCGUAAAGAGCGUGUAGGCGGCCAGGUAGGUCUGCUGUGAAAACUCGAGGCUCAACCUCGAGAUGUCGGCGGAAACCAUCUGGCUAGAGUCCGGAAGAGGAGAGUGGAAUUCCUGGUGUAGCGGUGAAAUGCGCAGAUAUCAGGAAGAACACCCCGUGGCGAAGGCGGCUCUCUGGGGACGGUAACUGACGCUGAGACGCGAAAAGCGUGGGGGAGCGAACAGG